UACGUAGGGUGCAAGCGUUAAUCGGAAUUACUGGGCGUAAAGCGUGCGCAGGCGGUUUUGUAAGUCUGUUGUGAAAUCCCCGGGCUUAACCUGGGAAUGGCAAUGGAGACUGCAAGGCUAGAGUUUGGCAGAGGGGGGUAGAAUUCCACGUGUAGCAGUGAAAUGCGUAGAGAUGUGGAGGAAUACCGAUGGCGAAGGCAGCCCCCUGGGAUAACACUGACGCUCAUGCACGAAAGCGUGGGGAGCAAACAGG
rnacentral:rRNA from 1 species